rnacentral:rRNA from 1 species
AUUGAACGCUGGCGGCAGGCCUAACACAUGCAAGUCGAACGAGUGGCGGACGGGUGAGUAAUGUCUGGGAAACUGCCCGAUGGAGGGGGAUAACUACUGGAAACGGUAACUAAUACCGCAUACCAUCGAAUGUGCCCAGAUGGGAUUAGCUAGUAGGUGGGGUAACGGCUCACCUCGGCGACGAUCCCUAGCUGGUCUGAGCGGAGGACCAGCCACACUGGAACGGAGACACGGUCCAGACUCCUACGGGAGGAAGCAGUGGGGAAUAUUGCACAAUGGGCGCAAGCCUGAUGCAGCCAUGCCGAGGGUAUGAAGAAGGCCUUCUGGUGGUAAAGUACUUUCAGCGAGGAGUAGUUACUCUCAGAAGAAGCACCGGCUAACUCCGUGCCAGCAGCCGCGGUAAUAC